rnacentral:lncRNA from 1 species
CCCUUGUACCCUGGCCAGCGCAUGUAGGUGGUGUGACCUGGGAGGACAGCGGAGCCAGGAGUUCCGCAGCUGUGUUGGAAGCCAGGCUCCCAGCGGCAAUGUUCCAGUGAGCCAGAGGGGGAGCCAGAGAGCCGGGAGGCUCCAGCCUGGUCCAGAGAGAAACAGGCAGCACCUGCCCAAGGCGAUUGUGUCCUGCAGUUUGAAAAACACUAACAUAGUAAAGCUCAACAAAUGUUUGGCUCCUUCACAAUCAGUGAAGAAUUAGGUACUUUCUUGCCAAAGAUAGCUGAAGCUCAAAGCCUGUACCAUAUGGACACUUGGGAUAUUUUGAGCAACCAUGUUGGGAUGCGGGCUAGUGGCAGCACCAACUGAUAACGUGGCUAUGGGAGCUAUUUUAAGUGUUCACCUACUCUCCCCAUCCCAUGCCCUCCCCAAAUGCCAAUGGUUCUCAACAUUUUUUGGAUCAUGGCCCCUUCAAGGAAUGGAUGGCUACCGAGGAUCCUCUUGUCAGAACAGCACAUGUCCACAUAUCUGCCACAUUCUGCACUUUAUUCCAGAGGCUCUAUGGACUUCAGAAUUUGAACCCUAUUCCAGAUAUUCAGACUCAGAGACCUAGAGGUAUGUCUCUGCUGCCUGCCUCUUUCCUCUGAAACCAUGCCUUAAAAACACCACAGGGACAGUGAAACCUGCUUUUCUGGAUCACAUUCUGAAAAUUGCUGUUCAGAAGAGCUGCAGCUUCAACAGGGCCACAGGGAUAUAAAAGAAGCCCUGGAAUGAUGUCUUCCCUAAAAACAACAUAAUCAUCAAUAAUGAAUAGGAAGAACCCAUAUUGUGAAAAUGGCCAUACUGCCAAAAGCAAUUUAUAGAUUCAGUGCUAUUCCCAUUAAACUACCACUGACAUUCUUCACAGAAUUAGAAAAAACUAUUUUAAAAUUCAUAUAGAACCAAACAAGAGCUUGUAGAGCCAAGACAAUCCUAAGCAAAAAUAACAAAGCUAGAGGCAUCAUGCUACCCAACUUCAAACUACACUGCAAGGCUACAGUAACCAAAACAGCACAGUCCGGUACAAAAACAGGCACAUAGACCAAUGAAACAGAAAGAGAACUUAGAAAUAAAACCACACAUCUACAACCAUCUGAUCUUCUGAAAACAUGACAAAAGCAAUGGGGAAAGGAUUCCCUAUUUAAUAAAUGGUGCUAGAAGAACUGGCUAGCCAUAUGCAGAAAAUUGAAACUGGACCCCUUCCUUACACCUUACACAAAAAUUAACACUAGAUGAAUUAAAGACUUAAAUGUAAAACCCAAAACUAUAAAAACCCUAGAAGAAAAUCUAGGCAAUAACAUUCAGGACAUAGGCAUAGGGAAAGAUUUUAUGAAAUCGCCAAAAGCAAUUGCAACAAAAGCAAAAAUUGACAAAUGGGAUCAAAUUAAACUAAUGAGCUUCUGCACAGCAAAAGAAACUAUCAUCAGAGUGAACAGACAACCUAUAUAAUGGGAGAAAAUGUUUUCAAUCUAUCCAUCUGACAAAGGUCUAAUAUCCAGAAUCUACAAGGAACUUAAGCAAAUUUACAAAACCCCCCACAAACAACCCCAUUAAAAAGUGGGCAAAGAAUGUGAAUAGACACUUCUCAAAAGAAGACAUACAUGCAGCCAACAAACAUAUGAAAAAAAAAGCUCAACAUUACUGAUCAUUAGAGAAAUGCAAAUCAAAACCACAAUGAGAUACCAUCUCAUGCCAGUCAGAAUGGCGAUUAUCAAAAAGUCAAGAAACAACAGAUGCUGGCGAGGUUGCAAAGAAAUAGGAACGUUUUUACACUGUUGGUGGGAAUGUAAUUAGUUCAACCAUUGUGGAAGACAGUAUAGCGAUUCCUCAAAGAUUUAGAAUCAGAAAUACCAUUUGAUCCACAAUCCCAUUACUGGGAAUAUACCCAAGGGAAUAUAAAUCAUUCUAUUAUAAAGAUACAUGCAUGCAUACGUUCAAUGCCACACUAUUCACAAUAGCAGACUUGGAAUCAACCCAAAUGCCCAGCAGUGAUAGACUGGAUAAAGAAAAUGUGGUAUAUAUACACCAUGGAAUACCAUGCAGCCAUAAAAAGGAAGAGGAUCAUAUCCUUUGCAGGGACAGGGAUGGAGCUGGAGGCCAUUAUCCUCAGCAAACUGGCAAAGGAACAGAAAACCAAACACCACAUGUUCUCACUUAUAAAUGGGAGCUGAACAAUGAGAACACAUGGACACAGGGAGGGGAACAACACAUAUUGGGGCCAGUUGGGGGAGUGCGGGGUGGAGAGAGCAUCAGGAAAAAUAGCUAAUGCAUGCCGGGCUUAAUACCUAGGUGAAGGAAGGGUUGAUAGGUGCAGCAAACCAGCAUGGCACAUGUUUACCUAUGUAACAAACCUGCAUAUCCUGCACAUGUAUCCCGGAACUUAAAAUAAAAUUUUAAAAAAUCAUCAAUAAUAACAAUGAAAGC